rnacentral:rRNA from 1 species
GACGAACGCUGGCGGCGCGCUUAACACAUGCAAGUCGAACGGAAAGGCCUGCUUUCCCUUGUGGAUUGCGGGUACUCGAGUGGCGAACGGGUGAGUAACACGUGAGUGAUCUGCCCCCAACUUGGGUAUAAGCCUGGGAAACUGGGUCUAAUUCCCGAUAGGACUGCAGGGUGGUGCCUGUGGUGGAAGACGAUUUUCUAGUGGUUGGGGAUGAGCUCGCGGCCUAUCAGCUUGUUGGUGGGGUAAUGGCCUACCAAGGCGGCGACGGGUAGCCGGCCUGGGAGGGUGGACGGGCACAUUGGGACUGAGAUACGGCCCAGACUCCGACGGGAGGCAGGAGUGGGGAAUAUUGCACGAUGGGCGGAAGCCUGAUGCAGCGACGCCGCGUGGGGGAUGACGGCCUGCGGGUUGGAAACUCCUUUCGACCGCGAGGAAGCCAGCUGGUUGGAAGGGUGGUGACGGUAGUGGUAGAAGAAGCACCGGCUAACUACGU